rnacentral:tRNA from 1 species
GCGGGGAUAGCUCAAACGGGAAAGCGAUGGACUGAAGAUCCAUUGACGGCGGUUCAAUUCCGUCUCCCCGCACCA